rnacentral:lncRNA from 1 species
AAAAAGUUCAAAAAUUAUAUAAUUUAACAAGAACAAAAAGAGCCCUUUAUACACACCUAAUAUAUGCACAUAUGGGACUUUCUUCUUUGAAAAUUACUUGCAUACACACCUAAUAUAUGCACAUAUGGGACUUUCUUCUUUGAAAAUUACUUGCAUACACACAUAAUGCACAUGAACCUGCGAUUUGCUUGCUGUUCAAGAUGCCAUAUAUGCACCAUCUAGGUCCCAUGAUGAUUCUACACCAGCACUGGCACACAUUGAAUCACCUCCAUGUUCAUACGGAAG